UGAACGCAACACUUGUGAAAGAAAAUAUAUGCAAAACUCGAUAACGUUGCCAUGUCCGCUGACUUACAGCAGUCGAAUAUAAAUGUAUAAUUUCCUGCUAAAAAUGGGUAAACAUUUGGCACUGGCUAGGUACCACAGAAAUGCACAAGUUCUUAUACAACCGUGCAAGUUCCUAUAGGUACCGAGCCAACAGCUAGCUAGCUUUUCUAAACUACCUUCCUGGUAAUACAUUUUCGAAAUGUGAAGGGGUAGCUAUUCGUGCGAUGAACCAUUACUUGUUCUACCAUUGGCUCGUAGCACCAUGAAUGUACCAUCAAACAACUCCCUGAUAGGUCCAACACCAAGCCAUUCAACGGUUAAUUCCUGCCGACAUUAAACCGAAUUCAAAGACAGAAAAAAGGAACAAAAUGGAGAAUCUGGCAUUAAGCCAAGGUCAUAGUUCGUGACCCCGUUCCGCCAGCGUGCUGGGAGUUUUUUCUUCUUCCUCCUCCAGCGCCCUUCUCCUUCCUAGCGCACAGAGCGGCGCGAGCCAGACAGCGGUGACGUCAGCCUGUCUGCACCUGAAGGACCGCCUUUGAUUGGCCAAUUUUUUAAAAUUUUAUUUCUUCUUUUGUAUUCAUACAAUGCAAUGUAUUGAAAUGGCUGUAUCUGGUCAGGAAAGUGAAAAGAACCAGCAGCUUAGGAAAGAAAUGCACGGCUAGUGAUCAUGAAACUGAACUUGAUGACUUGGAUGAGUCUUUAAAUAUUUGUUUUUAAAAUGCUGUUUUUAUACGCUAGUUUUAUAUUUGCAAUAUUUAAAAUACUUUCUCAAGAACCAAUGCUUGUUAUGUAUCAAGUUCCAAGUAUUUUCACACACUCCCUUAAAAUGCCACUGAUAUUUCAAAAACUGCAUGUAGGAGUGAUAAAAACGCUUGUGUAUAAUUCCUUAGAUAAAUGUUAGGGAAUACAUUUAUCAGUUUACUUGACUUAAGACUUGAUCUUUAUUCGAGUAAAAGCUAGCUGAUUAUGUUUGGACAAUAGAAAUGGAAUAGAUGUCCACUUUUGUGCCAUUUUGGAAUAAAAUUUGAAGUGGAGAGUCAUUUAUAUUCGAAUACAAUGCUUGAGUUAUGCGAAUGUACAUGGAAGUAAAGUUCUGAACACCAUGGGUGCAUAUUUUAAUUAAAAGACUGAUCAGCAUUA